UGGGGAAUCUUGGACAAUGGGCGAAAGCCUGAUGGAGCGACGUCGCGUGAUGGACGAAGUGCUUCGGCACGUAAACAUCUUUUUAUGUGGGAUGAAAUUAUUGACAGUACCACAUGAAUAAGGGGCUCCUAACUCUGUGCCAGCAGGAGCGGUAAUACAGAGGCCCCAAGCGUUAUCCGGAAUCACUGGGCGUAAAGGGUGUCGAGGCGGUUGUAUUAGUCGUUCGUAAAAUCUACGAGCUUAACUUGUAGGCGGCGAACGAAACGGUACGACUUGAGGUUUGGAGAGGUGCGUGGAACUCACGGUGUAGGGGUGAAAUCCGUUGAUAUCGUGGGGAACACCAAAGGCGAAGGCAGCGCACUGGCCAAAAUCUGACGCUCACACACGAAAGCUAGGGUAGCGAAGAGGAUUAGAUACCCCCGUAGUCCCUGAGCGGGCUGGCAAGGCGCAU
rnacentral:rRNA from 1 species